rnacentral:rRNA from 1 species
AUGCAUGGUUACAUGCAAUGGUGUAAUGUAUAUAAACUCUUGCCAGGUGCUAUUCCUCCGAGCCAUGCCAUGGCCGUUCCCUUAGUUAGUCUAGCUAUUAUAAAGGAUGUCACUGGAAAUUUCUCUGAAAGCAAUAUGAUCGGCCAGGGUGGAUUUAGCAUCGUUUACAAGGGGCAGGUGCCUGGAGGAAGAACAAUUGCUGUCAAGAGGCUUAAGCAGUCGGUGCUCACUACGAAAGGCAAGAAAGAUUUAACGAGAGAAGUGGAGGUGAUGGCUGGGCUCCGGCAUGGUAGUCUUGUCCGUCUCCUUGCUUACUCCAAUGAAGGCAAGGAGCGGAUACUCGUCUACGAAUACAUGCAGAACAAGAGCCUAAAUGUCCACAUUUUUGGUAAUCGGUACUCGCUACUUGCUGAAACACAAAUUCAUUCUCAAGUUGCUACGAGGACUGAACUUUCUCGCAAUGUUAACCUUCGUGCCUCACUGAACUGGGCAAGGAGACUGGAAUUAAUUUGA